UUUAGAGGAAGUAAAAGUCGUAACAAGGUUUCCGUAGGUGAACCUGCGGAAGGAUCAUUAAUGAAUUAAAGUCGGUCUUCUGUGCUGGUGGUGACACAUGUGCACGUUGAUCGCAAAUCCACACACCUGUGCACCUUUGACUUUAGGAUCCGCUUGUUGGCUUGUCUGACUUGCAGCUGAUGUUGGUUUUGUGCUCAUCUGGAUCUUAGAGUAAUUUUACACACUCUGAAUGUAAUGGAAUGUUCCUGUGCAUAAUGCGCAAAAUACAACUUUCAACAACGGAUCUCUUGGCUCUCGCAUCGAUGAAGAACGCAGCGAAAUGUGAUAAGUAAUGUGAAUUGCAGAAUUCAGUGAAUCAUCGAAUCUUUGAACGCACCUUGCACCCUUUGGUAUUCCAAAGGGUACACCCGUUUGAGUGUCAUUGUAAACUCACUUCAUCAGCUUUUGUUGAUGGAGGUGGACUUGGACUCUGUUGUGUCAUUACAACUGGUCUGAAAUGUGUGAGUGCACCCUGCUGUUGCAGCGUCCUCAGUGUGAUAAGCAUCUUCACUGAAUCAAGUUCCUUUGGGACACGUGUGUAAUGUGGGCUCUGUGCUGGCAAACUGUCUUUGGACAAUCUUGACAAUUUGACCUCAGAUCGAGUGGGACUACCCGCUGAACUUAAGCAUAUCAAUAAGCGGAGGAAAAGAAACUAACAAGGAUUCCCCUAGUAACGGCGAGUGAAGAGGGAAAAGCUCAAAUUUUGAAUCUGGUGCCUUUGGCAUCCGAGUUGUAAUCUAGAGAAGUGUUUUCUGCCUUGGACCACACAUAAAUUCCCUGGAAUGGGGUGUCAUAGAGGGUGAGAAUCCCGUUUGUGGUGUGGACUACCUUGGCUCUGUGAUACACUCUCAACGAGUCGAGUUGUUUGGGAAUGCAGCUCAAAAUGGGUGGUAAAUUCCAUCUAAAGCUAAAUAUUGGCGAGAGACCGAUAGCGAACAAGUACCGUGAGGGAAAGAUGAAAAGCACUUUGGAAAGAGAGUGAAACAGUACGUGAAAUUGUUGAAAGGGAAGCGUUUGAAGUCAGUCACAUUGGUCAGAAUUCAGCCUGGCUUAUGCCUGGUGUACUUUCUGGCAAAUGGGUCAGCGUCAAUUUUGACCGAGGGAGAAAGACUUGAGGAAGGUGGCUGUCUUUGGGCAGUGUUAUAGCCUCUUGUUGUAAUGCUCGGUUGGGAUUGAGGAUCGCAGCACGCCUUAUGGCCGGGGUUCGCGCCCUCGGUACGUGCUUAGGACGCUGGCAUAAUGGCUUUAAGCGACCCGUCUUG
rnacentral:rRNA from 1 species